rnacentral:rRNA from 1 species
UACGGAGGGUGCGAGCGUUGUCCGGAAUCACUGGGCGUAAAGGGCGCGUAGGUGGCGCGAGGAGUCUGUGGUGAAAGCCCGAGGCUCAACUUCGGGUCGGCCGCGGAUACUCUCGUGCUGGAGGGUGGUAGAGGCCAAUGGAAUUCGGGUGUAGCGGUGGAAUGCGUAGAGAUCCGGAAGAACACCGGUGGCGAAGGCGGUUGGCUGGGGCCACACCUGACACUGAGGCGCGACAGCGUGGGGGAGCAAACAGGG